UACGGGGGGGGCAAGCGUUGUUCGGAAUUACUGGGCGUAAAGGGCUCGUAGGCGGCCAACUAAGUCGGACGUGAAAUCCCUCGGCUUAACCGGGGAACUGCGUCCGAUACUGGAUGGCUUGAAUCCGGGAGAGGGAUGCAGAAUUCCAGGUGUAGCGGUGAAAUGCGUAGAUAUCUGGAGGAAUACCGGUGGCGAAGGCGGCAUCCUGGACCGGCAUUGACGCUGAGGAGCGAAAGCCAGGGGAGCAAACGGG
rnacentral:rRNA from 1 species